rnacentral:rRNA from 1 species
GAUGAACGCUGGCGGCGUGCCUAAUACAUGCAAGUCGAGCGAACAGACGAGGAGCUUGCUCCUCUGACGUUAGCGGCGGACGGGUGAGUAACACGUGGAUAACCUACCUAUAAGACUGGGAUAACUUCGGGAAACCGGAGCUAAUACCGGAUCAUAUAUUGAACCGCAUGGUUCAAUAGUGAAUGACGGUUUUGCUGUCACUUAUAGAUGGAUCCGCGCCGCAUUAGCUAGUUGGUAAGGUAACGGCUUACCAAGGCAACGAUGCGUAGCCGACCUGAGAGGGUGAUCGGCCACACUGGAACUGAGACACGGGCCAGACCCCUACGGGAGGCAGCAGUAGGGAAUCUUCCGAAAUGGGCGAAAGCCUGAAGGAGCAACGACGGGGGAGUGAUGAAGGUCUUCGGAGCGUAAAACUCUGUUAUUAGGGAAGAAAAAAUGGGUAAGUAACUACGCACGUCUUGACGGUACCUAAUCAGAAAACCACGGCUAACUACGUGC